rnacentral:lncRNA from 1 species
AUUUGGCAACACCCAUCAAUCGCCGGGUCGCCUGUUCAUUCUUUAUUCUCUCGUAGUAGAGCCAUAGUAGAGUAAAGCACGUGUCGUAAAACCUUGUUGUCACAGUUUCUCCAUGGCUAUUUUAUUGUUUUUAUUGGAUGUUUUGAUUUUGUAUUUUUUGGAUUCGAUUUUCUUAGUGUGUAGUGUCGGUUUAGUGUUUAUUUUGAUUACUUUUUAUUUAAAAACUAUAAAACAGGUUCGUCAGUGCCAAAUUUGUAAGAAAUUGGACUAUUUAAGUCCUGGAACAACAUUCCACAGAUUAUGCUGCCAAAGUUUCCUGAAUACAAUUCCGACCACUCUGUAUAUCAAGAUAUCCCCCAUUACGUACUAGUUUUUCUUAAUAAUUUUCUAUACAUUUUCCAACGCCAAGAUGUACCAAGCGCAUACAAAUACAUCAAGCUUCAAACAAGCUUGCACGUUGACAGUAAUACCUACAGUAAUAUUGUAUUAUAUUAAUGUAAUAUUUUUGAACCAAUGUUCAAUAUUACUGUAGUAAUACUGUUUAUACUCAUGCCUUUUAUAUUUGUUUGAAUUUGGUGCAUAUUUCCAUUGAAUAAAGUAUAGUCACCAUUACCAUUAUUAUACUUACUCUAUAAUAAAGACAGUAACGAGUUAAA